rnacentral:rRNA from 1 species
AUCCUGGCUCAGGAUGAACGCUGACAGAUUGCUUAACACAUGCAAGUCGAUUCGAUUUACCUUCGGGUAUUGAGGAUGGCGGACGGGUGAGUAACGCGUAAGGAACUUGCCUCUUGGACUGGGACAACUGUUGGAAACGACAGCUAAUACCGGAUAUUAUGAGAUUCUCGCAUGAGAAACUUAUGAAAGCUAUAUGCGCCAAGAGAGAGCCUUGCGUUCCAUUAGCUAGUUGGGGGGGUAAUGGCCCACCAAGGCAACGAUGGAUAGCCGGCCUGAGAGGGUGAACGGCCACAGGGGGACUGAGACACGGCCCUUACUCCUACGGGAGGCAGCAGUGGGGAAUAUUGGACAAUGGGCCACAAGCCUGAUCCAGCAAUUCUGUGUGCACGAUGAAGGUCUUCGGAUUGUAAAGUGCUUUCAGUUGGGAAGAAGAAAGUGACGGUACCAACAGAAGAAGCGACGGCUAAAUACGUGCCAGCAGCCGCGGUAAUACGUAUGUCGCAAGCGUUAUCCGGAUUUAUUGGGCGUAAAGCGCGUCUAGGCGGAAAAAUAAGUCUGAUGUUAAAAUGCGGGGCUCAACUCCGUAUUGCGUUGGAAACUGUUUUUCUAGAGUACUGGAGAGGUGGGCGGAACUACAAGUGUAGAGGUGAAAUUCGUAGAUAUUUGUAGGAAUGCCGAUGGAGAAGUCAGCUCACUGGACAGAUACUGACGCUGAAGCGCGAAAGCGUGGGGAGCAAGGCAGGAUUAGAUACCCUGGUAGUCCACGCCGU